CACCCCUCAAGCAUAGCUUGGUAUUGGGCUCUCGCCCCCGCGGCGUGCCCGAAAAGCAGUGGCGGUCCGGUGUGACUUUAAGCGUAGUAAAUUUCUCCCGCUUUGAAAGUUCGCCCCGUGCCCUGCCAGACAACCCCAUAUUCUUCAAUAA
rnacentral:misc_RNA from 1 species